rnacentral:miRNA from 14 species
UCCUUUUUUCUGGUACCUAGUCUUUUCUCUUUCCCGUUCACUCUUCUCGUCAGUCGAUGAUCGAAUAUAGAAUGACAGAACAGUGCGCGAGAAGGAAGACUAGCUUCCGUGUGAUAGUGU